rnacentral:rRNA from 1 species
GACGAACGUUGGCGGCGUGCUUAAUACAUGCAAGUCGACUGAAGCAGCGGUAGCAAUAUCGCUGUGGAGGUGGCGCCCGGGUGAGUAACACGUAGGUAAUCUGCCUUCAGGUCUGGCAUAACUCCGGGAAACCGGGGCUAAUAGCAGAGGAUGCAGCGGCUCGACAUCGAGACCGUUGUUAAAGCUAUGGCGCCUGAAGAUGAGGCUGUGUCUGAUUAGCUAGUUGGCGGGGUAACGGGCCAACAAGGCAACGAUCAGUAGCUGGUCUGAGAGGAUGAUCAGCAACAGUGACACGGAGAAGCGGCCCAGACGAGUACGGGGGGCGGAAGUAAGGAAUAUUGGUGAAUGGGAGAAAGACUAACGCCGCGUCGGCGCGUAAGGGACGAAGAGCUUAUGAUUGUAAUAUUAUGUAGUAAGAGAAGAAAAACCCAAUCUUUGCGACAUGAUGGUAUCUAAAAAGUAAGCCCCGGCUAACUACGUG